ACUCCUAUAUGGGAGGCUAUCCCGGCUCUUAUUAUGGUUCCUCUGGUUAUCGGUUUCGCCGCGGCAGUUACUAAAGAUCCGUACUGCGGAUAGGAUUUUACGAUCUUUUGACAGAGAGUAAGUAAGAGAGGCUAUGGAAAAAUCCGAGAAGUGAAAAUUAUAUGUGUAAGAUCUGAAUAAAUAUUUGAGUAGUUGAA